rnacentral:rRNA from 1 species
UUAAUGGAGAGUUUGAUCCUGGCUCAGGACGAACGCUGGCGGCGUGCCUAAUACAUGCAAGUCGAGCGGACAGAAGGGAGCUUGCUCCCGGACGUUAGCGGCGGACGGGUGAGUAACACGUGGGCAACCUGC